UUAUAAACAAGUCUUUCCUUUCCUAAAAGGAAAAUAUAUAUUCCUGCACAUCCAUGUAUUUGGCACAACAACAUAUCUCAUGAAAUAUCAUUACCUAACUCAGACCUGAUAUAAGCUAUAUCAUAAUGCUGCCAACUUUGAAGAGUAUUUACACAACAUGAAUGUAACAUUUUUGAUGAAAAUACUUUAAUUGUAUUUAUUCUCGUACACUGGCAACAGUUACAACGACCAACUGAAAAGUUUUUAGCAGCCGCACCUGUGAGCGACAGGACAGAGGGAAUCCACCGCCGCUCUGCGGUAACACCCUUCUGUUUUUGUCCGGACCGGUAACAAGUACAACUGGAUUCCACUGAAGCACUGUUCUUGUUUACCAGCCGUAUUUUAAGUGCUUUAUAGAUAAAACAACUUGUUUGUUUGGAACAACUUGAAAAGAAAGUUAACAUCUGCAUAUGAUGCCACAGUAAAGUGAUGAGACAUGACGACGAGGUUUUGGAUUUGCAUCAGUCAGUGUGGUUAACAACUGCAACUCUACUACAGUAUGUGAGACAGCAGAUGGUCAACAUUGAGCUACUGGGUAAUGGGUUCAUAUAAACUUAUUUAGACUGCUUGUUUCUUACAUAGACAAAGUGAGCUGUGUGUAAAAAUUCUAGUGAUUUUUUGUUUUAAUGCAGACCUUUAAAUACAGAUCUGCUUCACACGUGGGUGCUUGAUGUUGGUCCUCACUUCUUUUUACUUCAAACCAAUUGCAUCACAAUAUGAAGAUUUAUGUUUCAGUAUAUCACAUGCAUUCUGCAGACAUUGCAAACCAUCUCAGGGCUUAUCAAUAAACACUUGGAAGUCAGUUAGCACAGACAAGGUUGUGUAAGUAACUUUGUGUUUACAGCCUAUCCAAGAUGUCCACGUUAAGAUCUUUUGACUUGGCUGGUAAUCUGAGCUGUUGCUGUUGUCAUGUCAUGUUUACAAAACGAUAGUCCUUGUUGUGCAAUGGCUGCCGUCUUGCGUGCAACGUUCUGGAAAAGGUCACUGGUGCUUUAUGGAUGCUCCCUUGAUUACCCCCCAUUUCAUGACUGCACUCUUCUGAAAGGCCAAGUGUUUCCUGUACUAAGAGCUGGGAAUGUGUCUGAUAGAAAUUCUUUACUACAUCAUUAAAGUUAUUCAACCACAUGGGAAAUUCA